GCUCACUUCGGCAGUGCAUAUACUAACAUUGGAAUGAUACGGAGAUUAGCAUGGCCCCUGCACAAGGAUGAUGUGCAAAUUCGUGAAGUGUUCCAUAUUUAA